GGGAUUCUGAGCAGAUGCCCUAAAGACCACCUGCGCAUAGCAACAGCCUGCUCAGCCCCUCCCACCCUGCAGAGCCCCUCCCCCAUGCAGAGGCCCACCCACUUCUUCAGAAGUUCCACCCACACGCUGGCAUGGAAUAGAUCGCCUUACACACCUUGACAUUCUGAGGCAAGUGUCAGGUGCUACGCCCACCCCAUGUGAAAGAAGAAACUCUGGUCAAGGUGGUCCAGGGAGACACCAGGAAACACUCUAUGCAAAGGUUCAGAAGCUUGACUGUCAUACAAGUUCAGCAUGACCAGCUCAUCAGGACACACACACAGCAGAGGCCCUGACUCCCAUUCCAGAAGACCCAUUUGUAUGUGUGGUUGCGGGCAGCUACAAUUAGG